rnacentral:misc_RNA from 1 species
GAACCUCGGGACCAAGAAUUCUGUGAUUGGCCUCAUGGAUUGCUGGCAAUCGGUACAUUUGGAAACAAUGGCACGAAAGAAGAUUCCAAGCUUAACUAUUUUCAAGAAAAUCUAUCCCAAGAUCAUCUGCAACAACUUACACUUGAAGAAGUUGAAAAACUUCAAAAUGAGCUAAACUCGUUGUUGCAUAAACAAGAUGGAUCAACCUCUGGUGAUACAGAAUCAGAUACUGAGAAGCUCGCAGUAGGUAAGCUUCUCAAUGAAAAUCCCAGCUCGGAGGAAGAUGACAAAGAUUGCCACUUUCAAGGC